rnacentral:rRNA from 1 species
AGCGAACGCUGGCGGCAGGCUUAACACAUGCAAGUCGAGCGGGCAUCUUCGGAUGUCAGCGGAAGACGGGUGAGUAACACGUGGGAACGUACCCUUCGGUUCGGAACAACUCUGGGAAACUGGAGCUAAUACCGGAUACGCCCUUAUGGGGAAAGGUUUACUGCCGAAGGAUCGGCCCGCGUCUGAUUAGCUAGUUGGUGGGGUAACGGCCUACCAAGGCGACGAUCAGUAGCUGGUCUGAGAGGAUGAUCAGCCACACUGGGACUGAGACACGGCCCAGACUCCUACGGGAGGCAGCAGUGGGGAAUAUUGGACAAUGGGCGCAAGCCUGAUCCAGCCAUGCCGCGUGAGUGAUGAAGGCCUUAGGGUUGUAAAGCUCUUUUGUCCGGGACGAUAAUGACGGUACCGGAAGAAUAAGCCCCGGCUAACUUCGUG